UACGUAGGGGGCAAGCGUUGUCCGGAAUUAUUGGGCGUAAAGAGCGCGUAGGCGGUCCGGUAAGUCGGCUGUGAAAGUCAAGGGCUCAACCUUUGAAAGCCGAUGGAUACUGCAGGGCUAGAGUCCGGAAGAGGCGGGUGGAAUUCCUGGUGUAGCGGUGGAAUGCGCAGAUAUCAGGAGGAACACCAAUAGCGAAGGCAGCUCGCUGGGACGGUACUGACGCUAAGGCGCGAAAGCGUGGGGAGCGAACAGG
rnacentral:rRNA from 1 species